AUGUACAGGAGAUGCAUGUACAUGGUGAGCAGUGUGUCAAGAACCUUAUUCCAGUUCAUGGAAGUGAGCCGAUAUCCAUUCACUCAGACUAGACUCAGCAGUCAUGUUGAAAUAAGUGAGCCAAUGCAAGAAAGCCCGUUGAUUUGGAGGGUGCUUGACAGGUACCAGAAGCCAAGGAAAUAUGGAAGGACAGCCCAACCUAAUGAUACCUACAAAGAGAAAGCACAGCACCGUUCUGACGAGGCUGUGGAAAGCGCGCUGAGGAUGGAGAGAGCAGGACUGCAUCACAAGGAUUUGGGAAUUUCACGAGAGGAAGCAGUCGCUUUCCAAUCAUUUCUACAGACCAUAGGAAGCUUAUGGAAGAGACAGACUUGGGUCUGGAAAUACGUGUAGAAUCUGGACAUUUGGAAACGGGAGAAAGCCAGUUAAAGGGGUGUAGUAUGUAUGCAAAUAAAAGGGAUAAGAAAUAUCAUUAAUAGUUCAAUGAAGAGUAAUCUAGGAUCUAGCAUGUUCUACAUAUUUUAGCCAAGACUUUGUAUGUAUUUCCUUAUGUGAUUUUCCUCUUGGCUAUGUUGUUCAAACUGCAGGUUGCAAUCCAUUAGUGAGUUGUGAUGUUAAUUUAGUGGAACACAGUAUGCAUGUAAAAAAGUGAAAUAGAACAGAACAGAGUAGAACAGUCAAUUAGUAGUAGGUACACCUAAUGAUCUGCUGUUAUAUUAAGGAGGAGUUGUUUUGUGACUGUUUUAUUUCACCUGUGUGUAUAUGUGAUGUUAUAUGAAACAUAAUUCUUGUAGGUGGCUGAACAAAAAGUUGAGGAAAAAGUCUGGGAUAAACACAAACCCAGAUGACGCUAGUGGUAACGAACCUGCCUGCCAAUGCAGGAGAUGUAAGAGACAAGGGUUCAAUCCCUGGGGCAGGGGGAAGAUGCCCUGGAGGAGGGCAUGGCAACCCACUCCAGUAUUCUUGCCUGGAGAAUCCCAUGGACAGAGGAGCCUGGAGAGUUACCAUAGGGUUGCAAAGAGUCGGACAUGACUGAAGUGACUUAGCACUCACGCAGAGAAAAAUAAUGUUGUAGUGGAAGUUUGCAUCUCAUUUUCUGCUUUGAGUGAUUAGAAGGGUGGUGCUGCAUUAACCACAUUGAAGAAAGCAAGAACAGUGGGACAUUUGGGGAGAAACUGGUUUGUGGGCGAGGUCUGAGAUGUGUUACUCUGAGAUGUCUCACUGACUCUAAGUGGAAAUAUCAAGUGAACUGCUGACUAUCAGGAGAGAGGUAUUACCCAAAGACAUAAAUUUGGAAAAUACGAGCCAAAAAAGAUGGUAGUUGAGGCUGUAUCUUUAAGUAAGGUUACCCUGUAUUUUCCUAAAUGUUAAAGAAAGUUGACAAAAUUGAGACUCGUGGCCCAGAGAAAACAUUAGAUUUUCAUUAGGAUGAAAAAUGUCACACAGUCAGUUCCUUUGAGUGACUAUAUUUGAGGACCCAUCAAGGGAACGGAAAUGGUGGCUUUCCAGUUUUUUUUUCAGCAUUAUAGCCAAGUGGCGCUGCACUUCACAUGUGCUACACCAGAGAAGGGCUCGUUUUCUUUGCAUCUUGCAGCAUCUCAAAGUCUCUGAGGUUUUUUCCAUCGAGGAUAUCAUUGAAUAGGGUGGGGAAAGGAGAGUGGAGUGAAGCGUCAAUUUCCUCAGAUUAUCCUUUCCCCCUGGAUGAUCUUUCCAGAUCAGUGACAAACAAGCUACACUGAGGUUCCCUGGCACACACAAUGUCCCCUUAGUAGGAGACAAGUAGCACCCGGUCUCCAGACCAUUCCAGCUGACCUUCUACUCCCAUGCAGGCGCACUUUGCCCUGGAGAUGAACUGGUACCCACAAAGUAUGUCUCUGAAAGGAGACCCAGAAAACUGUGAAGCUGGGGAUGCAAACUCACAUCUGCAUUUCAAAGUGACAGUGUUAAUAGUAAAUUCUAGUUGGACUAUAAAGAAAGCUGAGCACCAAAGAACUGAUGCUUUUGAACUGUGGUGUUGGAGAAGACUCUUGAGAGUCCCUUGGACAGCAAGGAGAUCCAACCAGUCCAUCCUAAAGGAGAUCAGUCCUGAGUGUUCAUUGCAAGAACUGAUGUUGAAACUGAAACUCCAAUACUUUGGCCACUUGAGCUGACUCAUUUGAAAAGACCCUGACUCUGGGAAAGAUAGAGGGCAGAAGGAGAAGGGGACGACAGAGGAUGAGAUGGCUGGAUGGCAUCACUGACACAAUGGACAUGAGUUUGGGUAAACUCUGGGAGUUGGUGAUGGACAGGGAGGCCUGGCGUGCUGCAGUCCAUGGGGUCACAAAGAGUCAGACACGACUGAGUAACUGAACUGAACUGAACUGAAGUCUUUGAAGACCUUUAUCGUUACUUUCCUUCUUCUCCUGAGCUUAAAGGACCACUGCAAUGUAACUUCAAAAAUUGGUUUGAGGUUGAAAUCUAUAGCUAUCCCCUUGUCCAGGUUGUUUAAUAAAUGUUGUUGUGGAUUUUGGUACAAAAG
rnacentral:lncRNA from 1 species